GACAGAGGCCUCGAGCGUUAGGCGGAAUCACUGGGCUUAAAGCGUGUGUAGGCGGGCCCGUAAGUGUCUUGUGAAAUCCCACGGCUCAACCGUGGAACUGCUGGGCAUACUGCGGGUCUUGGGCCAACUAGGGGCAGCCGGAACAAGCGGUGGAGCGGUGAAAUGCGUAGAUAUCGACUUGGAACGCCAAUGGUGAAAACAGGUAGCUGGGGGUGUGCUGACACUGAGCACGAAAGCCAGGGGA
rnacentral:rRNA from 1 species